GAUCAGAUCUUCAAACUACUUGACAGACAACUAAGGAACAAGAUUCAAAGCUUCAGGGACACAAACCCGACUCGGUCUUCGAUCAUGAUGCAAAGCUGGCUUCGAUUCGGUUUGAUCUGAUCACCGGCUACCUCCGUUCUAAUCCAUCGACUUCUCCGCUACAACUAAAGGUUUUCCUUUUGGGCUUUCUAUCAUUGGGUAUUGGGCUCUACUAAG
rnacentral:lncRNA from 1 species